rnacentral:ncRNA from 1 species
UAAAGUUUGAUUCUUGCUUUAAACUUGGUUUUAUCAAUAAUUUACAUGUAAGUUUUUGUGAGAAUAAAUUAUUUCUAAAUGAUUAUUUUAUAAUUCGCAGUAUUUAGUUCUAUUAAUUUACUUUUGUUUGAUAUUGUUAAUUGAUUAUUUAAAUGACUAAUUUUGUGCCAGCAUUCGCGGUUAAACAAUUAUUUAUUAUUAAGUUUUUGUCUUUUAGUAUUUUGUUAUUAUUGGAUGUUUUUCUAUUAAUUAAUUAGGUGAAAUUAUUUAUUAAUUUUUUUUCUUAUUUAUAAAUUUGUCUGAGAAAUUUUUUUUUAAACUAGGAUUAGAUACCCUAUUAUUUUAAAUGUAAAUUUUAUAGAUUGAUUAUUAUUAGUUAUGAUCUUUAAAUUCAAAGAAUUUGGCGGUAAUUAAGUCUUUUUAGAGGAAUCUGUUUCGUAAUUGAUAUUCCACGAUUGAUUAUACUUUUUUUAUACUUGUAUAUCUCUGUCAUUGAAUGUAUUAUAAGAUGUAUAUUUUCUAUGUUCUUAAAAAGUUGGAUUUAUGUCAGGUCAAGGUGCAGUUUAUAUUUGAGUGAUUAUGGAUUACAUUAUUUAUAUUUUGGAUUUUGUUUUGUAAUAGACUAAUUGAUAUUGGAUUUAAUAGUAAUUUUAAAUAGUAAUUUUAUUUUGAUUAUUGGCUCUUAAUUAUGUACAUAUCGCCCGUCAUUCUCAUUAAUUUGAGACAAGUCGUAACAAAGUAAUUUUACCGGAAGGUGAAGUUAGAAAGUUUAUUUUUAU